UACGUAGGGGGCAAGCGUUGUCCGGAAUCAUUGGGCGUAAAGCGCGUGUAGGCGGCCCGGUAAGUCCGCUGUGAAAGUCCAGGGCUCAACCCUGGGAUGCCGGUGGAUACUGUCGGGCUCGAGUCCGGAAGAGGAGUGUGGAAUUCCUGGUGUAGCGGUGAAAUGCGCAGAUAUCAGGAGGAACACCAAUGGCGAAGGCAUCACUCUGGGCCGUAACUGACGCUGAGGAGCGAAAGCGUGGGGAGCAAACAGG
rnacentral:rRNA from 1 species